rnacentral:rRNA from 1 species
GGGUCAGUAGGUUGGUCGUGCCACCGGUACGUACUGGUCACACUGAUUCCUCCUUCCUGAAGAACCGUAAUGCCAUUAAUUUGGUGUUGCGGGGAAACAGGACUGUUACUUUGAAAAAAUUAGAGUGUUUAAAGCAAGCUAACGCUUGAAUACAUUAGCAUGGAAUAACGAAAUAGGACGAUCGAUCCUAUUUUGUUGGUUUCUAGGAUUGACGUA